rnacentral:tRNA from 1 species
CAGGGGGUAUUUUAUGAUUAAAAUGUUAGUUUUGGGUAUUAAUGAAAUGGUAAUAGCCUUUCCCCUGA